AUAUAUAUAUAUAUAUAUAUAUAUAUAUAUAUAUAUAUAUAUAUAUAUAUAUAUCUACUAUUUAUUCUUUAUUUUUGGUAUUGUUUUAACCCCCCUCUUCUUUGCUCCCAUACCCGCAUGAUCAGUUAUGGGCUCAUGAGAGGUGCAAGUACAUGAACCUAUUUCCAUAUUUUUCUUUUGUCCUUAAUUCCUUUUCUUUUCUUUUCUUUUCUUUUCUUUUUUGGUUUUUUGAGAAAGAGAGGUUGAAAUUUUGUGAGGCUUCAUUUGGAUGGAGAGUAAAGGGGAGAAAAGAAUAGAAAGUUUGCUGAAAAUAAAAAGGAAUCGUUUUUUUUCUUAUUUGAAUGGAAAUCUGAAAAAAAAGAAGAAAAAAAAAAGAGAGGAAAAGAAUGAUCUUCCACAGCAGUCUAUUUUUUUUUCCCUCUCUCUAUAGAAGUAACAAAGAAUCAUAAUUUGUUUAUUUAUUUAUCUUAGGGACCAUAUAUACACAUUGCUUAUUAAUCACAUAAUAAAUAUCCUUGUACAUUUCUCAUUAGUACUGGCUAUUUUGGAAGGAUCCAUCUAUAUAUGGUGCACAAAUUUUUUUAUUUUUUUUUGCUAUUUGUUUUUUUCCUCUCUAUGUACAGCUUCCUAAGAUUGGUUCUAUUACUAGGGUUUUCAAGAGGUUUGGAAUUAAACAGGAAACCCAGUAACCAUUGUGGAGAUCAAAAGCUCAAUUCAAACUUCAGGAAUUUUCAGAGGUACUUUAUAAUGGCUUCAGAAGAUCUAAUUGGAGGGUAUGAAAGAGCUUCCUUCAGUCCACUCAUGGAUGGUUGUGGGGUUUGAAUUCGCUGCCGACUCAUUCAAUCAAACACUCGGUAGAAACAACAAUUCAAGCACGCUCAGUAGAAUCAAUGGAAUUGAUCCUCUAUUGAAGGCACGCACAAAAGUGGAACCAGACCUCAGUUACUGAGUGAAUGAGUGAAUGAUGCGGGAGAUUAUUCUCUCCUUCUCAUUCCAUGCUUGGACUGAAGGGAGCUCCCUCUUUCUCUUCUGUUGGACCUUCUUCACUAUUUUUCCUUCUUUUGCUUGAUCAAUUACAUCAUCGGAUAACACAUCGCUCUCUUUUGCUUUUUUUCAAAUCCUAGUUGAUUUAUAUUUCUAGCUAAGUUUAUUUCUUUAAGAAAUAAACGAAGCGGGUAGCAUGUUAUCUUUCUCUCUCAAUAAAAAAAAAAGACAUCGCUCUUUUUUUAUUUCUUCACCGUUUUAAGUUAGUGGUUUUUUUUUUAUAAUUACAUCUCUUAUCUAUUGUUGCUUCUUUCGCUAGUUAAUUAAGAAACUUCAUAGGUGUUAUUACUAGAUGAGCCUUAUCUUAGUCUAGGUAGAAUAUGACAUAUCUGCCGGAACCGAUCACGUAUAUAAAAACACCUAAUUAAAUAGUUCCCCCAUUAAUUAAUUAGGUAGAUCUCAGAUAUUAUUUCCAUGUCGGUCGUCUUCGGUAUAAUUCACCAUAGACGAGGCAAAGGCAAGAAUAAAUUAAUUUGGCCCCAUUAGUAUAUAUCAAUGCUUCACAUUUUUUGUUAUUAUUUCAUGUGGAACUAAACUUAUUACGCGUAGGUAUACAGCUGACUCAUUUUAUAGAUGCGCAAUAGAUUCUUUAUUUAUUUCCAAUUAAUUUUCCUUCAUAAGUAUAUCGAGUUAUGUUCAUGAUCUAUUUGUUGAAUCAUCGGAUAAUUAAAACAAAUUGUCCGGUAAAACCAGCCGAAGUACAAAGUUCGCAAAGCGACGAACUCCAAGUACUUAGGUUUCUACAUGGCAGAUCUCGAAUAUUUUUCACUUGUCUUAUCAUUUAAUAUAUAAGGUAUUAUACAGUAGAUAAUGUGAGUGGAAUUCAUUCAACGCAAGUACUUCGGUUCGCUGAAUUUUUUUCUUAUAUAUCAUACAUAUAAAAUCCUUUAAAACCUGCAUUAUUUUCUACGUGGGAGCUAUUUUUUCACACGCACAUAAUCCAAUGAUAUUCAUCUUUGCAUAUCAAAUUUUAAUCAUGUUAUUAUUUAUUUUUCUUGUGCUCAACUAUAUGGCCAAGGAAUCAAAGUAGUGGAGCCUAACAUUUGGAGCUAAGCUAUGGAUCACUGUGCAUGUCUCAUAUCUAAGUUGGUGACAAACUUUGAGUUACCCGGGCCAUUGAACCUUGCAAUACUCCCAACUAGUUCAAAAUCAAUUAGCAUCAUUUGAUGUGAACAAAUCAUGGAACUUUUGGCUCUGAUACCAUUUCCGGGUCGAUGGAUGCGACACGUCGUUUCGAACCUAUCCAUUUCGAACCUAUCCAUCCGAAAAGCUUAAGCCUAUAGCUAGCUAGAUACAAUUAAUGCAAUUAGAUGCAUCAACCCUUAGGUGCAAAUUUUAGUUAUCUUCAACUAGUGGCUAGUGCACCCGCACCCACCCAGGAAUCCCGUAAAAGUUGAUGUUAUUUUAUUUGUGUUAAGGAUUUAACCCCUGCUAUAAUUGUGAUUCUAAUCUUUCUUUUGAUCACAAUGACUCCAACUGCGGCUUCUUGGAACUUGGAUUGGUUUUUAAAUAUGCAAUUCCUCUUUAUCUUCUGGUCAAAGCAUGCAGGGAAUACCAAUGAUGCACUCUUUAAUUUGAGUUGUUCAAACUCCCACUCAAACUGAUGUAGACACCCACUUCAUGCGUUUGUAUAUAUUUACCUGCAAAUGCACAAGUAUAUAUACACAUAUCAGAGAGAGAGAGAGAGAGAGAGAGAGAGAGAGAGAGAGAGAGAGAGAGAUACAUAGAUAGUUAUAAAUGAAAGCAUUUCACUUCGACAUUGUCUACAUAUAUAAUAAAAGCUUAUGCAAAAGCCUAUCUCUAGCUUGUGCUUUUUGGUCUGAAAAGCUUCAAGUAGAGCAGAUAUUACUGUUUACCAACAGUGAAAGUACAAAACUUUCAGGUUUAUUAUUUUUAUAUUAGUGACCUCAUGUGUUGUUUACUUGUUUGCAGUGUAAAGAUUUUUCUUUCUUUAAAAAAAGAUUUGGUGUACAAUAAUAUUAUUUUGGUACUUUCUCUAUGUAUCCCUUCAUUAAACACUGUUCCCUCUUCAGCAAUUCCCAGAAGGGUGUGAAGAAAACAUAAAGAGAGGGUUUAUUUUAUACUCUUUUUUUAUUUCCCUCAAGUAGCAUGUUAUUCUUAGAUUAUGUUGUGGAAGUACAAUUACAUCAGUAUUUAAUGUUUAUGCUGAGGUGUAUCUUCUGAAAAUGUGUAAUAUAUAAUUCCCAUUAA